rnacentral:rRNA from 1 species
GGGGGUCGUAGUAGGUUGACAUGCGCUCGGGGCCUGGGAACUUGCUCCCUGAUGUUAGCGGCGGACGGGUGAGUAACACGUGGGUAACCUGCCUGUAAGACUGGGAUAACUCCGGGAAACCGGGGCUAAUACCGGAUGGUUGUUUGAACCGCAUGGUUCAGACAUAAAAGGUGGCUUCGGCUACCACUUACAGAUGGACCCGCGGCGCAUUAGCUAGUUGGUGAGGUAACGGCUCACCAAGGCGACGAUGCGUAGCCGACCUGAGAGGGUGAUCGGCCACACUGGGACUGAGACACGGCCCAGACUCCUACGGGAGGCAGCAGUAGGGAAUCUUCCGCAAUGGACGAAAGUCUGACGGAGCAACGCCGCGUGAGUGAUGAAGGUUUUCGGAUCGUAAAGCUCUGUUGUUAGGGAAGAACAAGUGCCGUUCAAAUAGGGCGGCACCUUGACGGUACCUAACCAGAAAGCCACGGCUAACUACGUGCCAGCAGCCGCGGUAAUACGUAGGUGGCAAGCGUUGUCCGGAAUUAUUGGGCGUAAAGGGCUCGCAGGCGGUUUCUUAAGUCUGAUGUGAAA